GCUGACUGUCGGCGGACGUAUGAGUAGUGAGUCGGAAUCUGCCUGGCAGUGGUCGAUAACGUUCGGAAACGGACGCUAAUACCGCAUACGUCCUACGCGAGAAUGCAAGGGACCUUCGGGCCUUGCGCUAUCAGAUGAGCCUAGGUCGGAUUAGCUAGUUGGUGGGGUAAUGGCUCACCAAGGCGACGAUCCGUAACUGGUCUGAGAGGAUGAUCAGUCACACUGGAACUGAGACACGGUCCAGACUCCUACGGGAGGCAGCGCCGGGGAAUAUUGGACAAUGGGCGAAAGCCUGAUCCAGCCAUGCCGCGCUCUUGAAGAAGGUCUUCGGAUUGUAAAGCACUUUAAGUUGGGAGGAAGGGCAGUAAAUUAAUACUUUGCUGUUUUGACGUUACCGACAGAAUAAGCACCGGCUAACUCUGUGCCAGCAGCCGCGGUAAUACAGAGGGUGCAAGCGUUAAUCGGAAUUACUGGGCGUAAAGCGCGCGUAGGUGGUUCGUUAAGUUGGAUGUGAAAUCCCCGGGCUCAACCUGGGAACUGCAUUCAAAACUGACGAGCUAGAGUAUGGUAGAGGGUGGUGGAAUUUCCUGUGUAGCGGUGAAAUGCGUAGAUAUAGGAAGGAACACCAGUGGCGAAGGCGACCACCUGGACUGAUACUGACACUGAGGAGCGAAAGCGUGAGGAGCAAACAGGAUUAGAUACCCUGGUAGUCCACGCCGUAAACGAUGUCAACUAGCCGUUGGGAGCCUUGAGCUCUUAGUGGCGCAGCUAACGCAUUAAGUUGACCGCCUGGGGAGAACGGCCGCAAGGUUAAAACUCAAAUGAAUUGACGGGGGCCCGCACAAGCGGUGGAACAUGUGGAUUAAGUCGAAGCAACGCUCAGAACCUUACCAGGCCUUGACAUCCAAUGAACUUUCUAGAGAUAGAUAUGUGCCUUCGGGAACAUUGAGACAGGUGCUGCAUGGCUGUCGUCAGCUC
rnacentral:rRNA from 1 species